rnacentral:misc_RNA from 1 species
GAUGAAGAACGCAGCGAAAUGCGAUAAGUAAUGUGAAUUGCAGAAUUCAGUGAAUCAUCGAAUCUUUGAACGCACCUUGCGCCCUUUGGCCAUUCGGAAGGGCAUGCCUGUUUGAGUAUCAUGAACACCUCAACUCUCAUGGCUUGCCAUGAUGAGCUUGGACUUUGGGGGUCUUGCUGGCCUGCGGCCAGCUCCUCUCAAAUGAAUUAGCUUUCCAGUGUUUGGUUGGCAUCACAGGUGUGAUAACUAUCUACGCUUGUGGUUUCCACCAGGUAACCUUCAGUAACAUGGGGGUUUGCUGGAGCUCAUAAAUGUCUCUCCUCAGUGGGGACAGCUCUUUGAACGUUUGAUCUCAAAUCAGGUAGGACUACCCGCUGAACUUAAGCAUAUCAAUAAGCGGAGGA